GGUGAGGUGUCCGAGUGGCUGAAGGAGCACGCCUGGAAAGUGUGUAUACGGCAACGUAUCGGGGGUUCGAAUCCCCCCCUCAGGGCUGCCCCGCAGGGGCGAGCGAAGCGAGUCAAUCCCCCCCUCACCGCCA
rnacentral:tRNA from 1 species